UGGGGAAUUUUGGACAAUGGGCGAAAGCCUGAUCCAGCAAUGCCGCGUGUGUGAAGAAGGCCUUCGGGUUGUAAAGCACUUUUAUCAGGAGCGAAACGCUGUCGGCUAAUACCCGGCGGAACUGACGGUACCUGAGGAAUAAGCACCGGCUAACUUCGUGCCAGCAGUCGCGGUAAUACGAAGGGUGCAAGCGUUAAUCGGAAUUACUGGGCGUAAAGCGUGCGUAGGCGGUUUCUUAAGUCUGCUGUGAAAUCCCCGGGCUCAACCUGGGAAUGGCAGUGGAUACUGGGAGGCUAGAGUGUGUCAGAGGGUGGUGGAAUUCCCGGUGUAGCGGUGAAAUGCGUAGAGAUCGGGAGGAACAUCAGUGGCGAAGGCGGCCACCUGGGACAACACUGACGCUGAGGCACGAAAGCGUGGGGAGCAAACAGGAUUAGAUACCCUGGUAGUCCACGCCCUAAACGAUGCGAACUGGAUGUUGGUCUCAACUCGGAGAUCAGUGUCGAAGCUAACGCGUUAAGUUCGCCGCCUGGGGAGUACGGUCGCAAGACUGAAACUCAAAUGAAUUGAC
rnacentral:rRNA from 1 species